CCUGAGACUCAAAUCUGGCUUGUUUCUUUUUAUUGGAUGCUUUUGUUCUUGUGUAUUUUUAUUUGCCUUGCUGUGUUCUUUUCUUCAGGAAGCACAAAUGUUGCUGACAACAAGUCUGAGAGCCCAGAAGGGUGGAGAUCUCGGUUGAAGCCUGUAGCCAACAAGUGAGUGUCCUUGGAGCUGGUGGAUUUCCAUGACAAAUGUGACCAUCCCAGGUGGAGAUCCACACCAGGAUGUCCAGAACUUUUCCCGUGGACCAUUCAGCAUGAGAGAUUUUCCCUACCUUUGUCUUUUUCCUUUGCAGGGACCAAGAUGUCUCUAAGAAACCUGCUGAGAGCUCCCAGGUGGGAGCAGGGAGCCCAGCACAGAAGGAGCCAAAGCCAAGCCCAUUAGUUGUCCCACCAGCAAAGCAGGACUCUGCUUCAUCUGGUGGAUUCACAAAGAAGUUGUUGAUUCCCAGCUCAGAUCUUAUCAGGAGCUGUCAGAAUUCAAAGCAAGACUGGAAAGAUCCUGGAGGGUCUGCCAAGAAGGAGGAAGAUGGCAACCAGUUGAAAACAAACACUGCUACAUUUAAACUCCCUGUUCCAAAAAGCAAAGGGGAGCCUCAGGUGGUGUCCCCAACCAAGGUAUGGCUGGAAACCAGGUGUAAGUGGAGCAGGGUGGGGUGGUUAAAUAUCCUUCUGGAGUGCUUGUCCAGAUAUAUCUAAGUUUGUCUUAUUGGGAGGGUUUGUUUGGAUACCCAGGGAAAGGGUGAAAGGCUGUGGGGCAGAAGAAGGUGGAGAAGCUGCUGGUUAUCUUCCGUGCAGAAUCAGAGCUGGAAUCAGACAGAGCCAAACAAAACUAUGGCAGAGAUUGCAUUCCCCACAGGAGGAGGGAGAAUGUCUGCAGGCUGACAGGUGUGGGGGAGUUACCACUGACAGCACGUGUGUCACACCCUGCAGUGGGCACUGACAGCACGUGUGUCACACCCUGCAGUGGCCACUGCUCUGGUGUGAGCAGCCAGCUCUGCCCCUCUGCUGGCCUGGCCCUCCCAGGUUGUGGCUCUGUACCUGGGCUCCUCAUGCCCUUUCCCAUCUCUGUUGUGACCUCACCAGACAGUCUCAGGGUUCCUGAGCUGCAUUUGGCCCUACUUUUUUUUUUCCCCUAGCUGCACCCAGACUACCUCCCUGAGGAGAAGAUCCAGGAGAAGGUUUGUGCCAUCGAGAAGCAGCUGGACGAGCUGGAAUUGAAAGGAGUGGAUCUGGAGAAGCAGCUGCGUGCCUGUGAGGGAGGUGAGGAGCCCUGGUGCCAGCUCUGCCCUGUUGGGGAGCUGUGGGGCUCAGGUCCUACCCCUGGGCACUCUUGGCUCCAUUUUUAGGAGCUCAGGCUGCAUGGGAGUCACCAGGUUGCCAGAGGUACCUGGUAUAUAAAGUUAAAGCCCAGGGGAUUUUGAACCUUCUCUG
rnacentral:lncRNA from 1 species